rnacentral:rRNA from 1 species
UGAGGAAUAUUGGGCAAUGCCCGAAAGGGUGACCCAGCAACGCCGCGUGGAGGAUGAAGGUCGUAAGAUUGUAAACUCCCGUUAGAGGGGAAGAAUAACUAAGUUUGGAGCUUAGUAUGACUGUACCCUCAGAGAAAGCCCCGGCUAACUACGUGCCAGCAGACGCGGUAAUACGUAGGGGGCAAGCGUUGUCCGGAUUUCCUGGGUGUAAAGGGCGCGCAGGCGGAAUGGAAAGUCAGUGGUGAAAUCCUACAGCUUAACUGUAGAACUGCCUUUGAUACUUUCAUUCUUGAGUUCGGGAGAGAGAGACGGAAUUCCAGGUGUAGUGGUGAAAUACGUAGAUAUCUGGAAGAACACCAGUUGCGAAGGCGGUCUCUUGGUCCGAUACUGACGCUGGGGCGCGAAAGCGUGGGGAGCAAACA